UACGAAGGGGGCUAGCGUUGUUCGGAAUUACUGGGCGUAAAGCGCACGUAGGCGGAUCGGUCAGUUAGGGGUGAAAUCCCAGAGCUCAACUCUGGAACUGCCUUUAAUACUGCCGAUCUGGAGUCCGGAAGAGGUGAGCGGAAUUCCGAGUGUAGAGGUGAAAUUCGUAGAUAUUCGGAGGAACACCAGUGGCGAAGGCGGCUCACUGGUCCGGUACUGACGCUGAGGUGCGAAAGCGUGGGGAGCAAACAGG
rnacentral:rRNA from 1 species